AAGUCGUAACAAGGUUUCCGUAGGUGAACCUGCGGAAGGAUCAUUACAGAGUUCAUGCCCUCACGGGUAGACCUCCCACCCUUGUGUAUUUAUACCAUGUUGCUUUGGCAGGCUGCUGCCCCCCUCGGGGGACAGCCCCAGCGCCUUCGGGCCUGGGAGUCGCCUGCCGGAGGAAAAACAAACUCUGAAUUGUUAGUGUCGUCUGAGUACUAUAUUUUAAUAGUUAAAACUUUCAACAACGGAUCUCUUGGUUCUG
rnacentral:misc_RNA from 2 species